rnacentral:rRNA from 1 species
UACGUAGGGUGCAAGCGUUGUUCGGAUUCACUGGGCGUAAAGGGUGCGUAGGUGGUGAGGUAAGUCGGAUGUGAAAGCUCGGAGCUCAACUCCGAAAUGGCAUUGGAAACUACCUUGCUCGAGGGUUGGAGGGGGGACUGGAAUGCUUGGUGUAGCAGUGAAAUGCGUAGAUAUCAAGCGGAACACCAGUGGCGAAGGCGAGUCCCUGGACAACUCCUGACACUGAGGCACGAAAGCUAGGGGAGCAAACAGG